GGAUAGCUCGGUCAGUUAGAGCACGAGACUCUUAAUCUCAGGUCUGUGGGUUCGAGUCCUGUGUUGGACA